AGGAGAUCAUGUUGAGCCCAAAGGCGGGUCGGGUCUUCUCGAACGUCGGGGUCGACGUGGAGGGCAUGGUGGAGGUGGCGGACAUCCGGCUGUUCAAGGA
rnacentral:SRP_RNA from 14 species